GGGAGUGACUUGGCUUCGACAGGAGUAGAGUGGUCACGGUGGCAUGCCGCUUUGGAUACAGCGUAAAAAAUCCAAAAUAAAUUUAAACGCAAAUAACGUUAAAUUCGCUCCUGCUUACGCUAAAGUAGCGUAACCGGUUGAGCCUUGCUGCAAACUGAUACUAUUUAGGUUUGCUUGCGAGUAAUUUCAAAUAGUGUAGUUUAGGUGUUUGACGAGCAUUUAAGCCAAAUCUAGUCUUAGUCUAAUUUUUGGUUUUGAAAAGUGAGCCUUUUUAGAUGAAAUUUUCACUUUUGCUAAGCAUGUAGAGGCCUUGGUCUUUUGCUUUUGGACUGCGGUUCGACCCCGCACACUUCCACCA
rnacentral:tmRNA from 2 species